CCUACGGGAGGCUGCAGUGAGGAAUAUUGGUCAAUGGACGAGAGUCUGAACCAGCCAAGUAGCGUGAAGGAUGACUGCCCUAUGGGUUGUAAACUUCUUUUAUAUGGGAAUAAAAUGUUCCACGUGUGGGAUUUUGUAUGUACCAUAUGAAUAAGGAUCGGCUAACUCCGUGCCAGCAGCCGCGGUAAUACGGAGGAUCCGAGCGUUAUCCGGAUUUAUUGGGUUUAAAGGGAGCGUAGGUGGAUUGUUAAGUCAGUUGUGAAAGUUUGCGGCUCAACCGUAAAAUUGCAGUUGAAACUGGCAGGCUUGAGUACAGUAGAGGUAGGCGGAAUGCGUGGUGUAGCGGUGAAAUGCUUAGAUAUCACGAAGAACUCCGAUUGCGAAGGCAGCAUACCGGCUCCAUACUGACGCUGAGGCACGAAAGCGUGGGGAUCGAACAGGAUUAGAUACCCGUGUAGUC
rnacentral:rRNA from 1 species